AGGAAGUGGCAUAUGAGAGCUGGUGUUAAUGAGUGAGUGCCUAACAGAAUCUGGGAAUCUUUGCUCCAGUGAUGUUUGAAGCAACAAAUAUGACCAACUGAGUGAUAAAACAAGAGUCUAAAGGUGAUGGAUCUGAGCCAUGGCCAGUGGCAGAAGGUCUGUACUGAACUGAAGAGUGCAAAUGUACUCAUAAUAGUGUGCAGGAAACAAGGAAGAUGAAAGAAAAACACUCACUACUCAAUCCAUGGGGAGUGCUACAAAGGUAGUUGCUGAAAAAACGAGUGAUGUAGGUAACAUAGUGUUUCUCUAGGGUUAAUCAAAGGAAAGAGCAGAGGAGCCUGCAGAAGAGAUGGGGUCAUGUGAAGACUGGCAGGUACUGCAGGAGGGAGCUGGCACUGUACUUGUACCAGAGAUCAUGAUUAAACAAGAAAGAAGAGAGAUGGGAAACUACCCAAGGGAAGAACUACGUGAAGAGUAAUUGAGAACAGGUGGAGUGGCAUGGGCAGAUAAGAUGAGGAACAGUUUCCCAGAAUGGGAACUCCUGUAAGAUCUUAUAAUAGGUCUAAUUGGUCAAAUGAUGGUUCUUAAUGCCAGAGUCUGAAAAGCAGUAUAUACAAUGGGAGAAGAACAGGGCCUAAAAGUAAUGGGAUGUUUUAGUUAGGAGGAUUAAAAACAGGCUAGCAACCUCAACGACACCAAGAUAAAUCUCUGAGCACUUGGUUCUGUAGCAUGGAUCAUGAGGUAAGCGGCCAGGGAUAGUUGUAAACCCAACUGAAAAGUAAAACUUCAUUUGUUAUUUUCAUGUACAGAUGGUAAAGGAAAUUAUGCUAUAUGUAAUUAAGAUGUGGGAGGGCAAAAACCAAAGGGAGAUACAAACAAAUAUCAUGCAGAUACCAUGUUAAAGUUAUCCUUAGAAUUUACUCUGCCAUGUGAAGGUUUUCAGAAAGUGAAGAGACAGCUACAGAGGAGAGAACCUGGCUAGGGAGUGCUGUUUCCAAGGAGACUGGAUCCACUUGAGUGAAAUAGAAUGGUAGCUAAAACAAGAAGAGAAGCUAAAGAUAAGGUACCACAGUUCUUCAGGGCAAGACAGGUAACAAGAAAACGAAUUGGAGAGUGACGUUACAGAUGCCCCCAGAUUAAAAGAAUACCAUUUAAAGAAUGACAGCUAUUGACUGGAGAGAGAAGGUCCCAUAUGUGGGCCAAAAGACACAGAAGAGGGCACGGGGCGGGGGGAGUUAAAGCCAAGAGGAGUGCUGCACAGACAAGAGGGCGACUCUGAAUGGAGGGCAACAAGCAAACCACAGGACCCUCAGGAUUCCCAGAGUGGGCAAGCCUGCAGGUGUGAGGACGGGCCAAAGUGCUCAGUGUGCUGGGUGUCAGCCAGACUGCAAUGACUAGUCUGUACAAUGGGAGAGAAACAGGCUUGAAAAGGAGUGACAGUCAGGAGUAGACUCGCUCCUGAUGCCUUCGUUGGAAAUUUUAAAUUAAAGGGGUUGGUUUUUGUUAGAAAAUUCUUCGGCCCCACUAGACCCACUGAAUCAGCAAUUUCGAGUGGGACUCAGUCGUUUGUAUUUUAACAAACUGAAGUUUGAGAGCCACUGCUUUAGAUAAAGGCAGAUAAGGAGUAAUUCUGAUUAAAAAAUCUUUGCUAGCAAGCAGUCAUACUAGGAUUAGUUGAAAAUAAGCAACUGAGGAGACUUGUAAGAAAAGACAGUAGAUAAAGGGAGAAUGGUGGCUAUAAAAAGGGAAGGGGCUGUGUGACUUAAGACUUGGGUGGGAAGCUUGCAGGAAGUAACAUGGCCAACGAGUAGGGGCAUUGAAAGAGUGCUAGAGUGAGAAAUCCUGGGACGUGGGAGAGGAGGAACCUGAAGACAGUGAUUUUUGUUAAUCUAGAUGACAACCACUCAAAGAGAGGAAGGAGGGAAUGUGGCUACAUAAGAACUGAGGUGAUGGGUGGGGGGAACUGUUCAGGAGACUUUGUAGAAGACAGGCUACAGGGGCUGGAACUAUAUAAUCCAGUCCAGGGUCUGAACCGUGACUGCUGAAUGUGACAUGUUCCUUUAUCUAGAUAUGGGAAUAUGUACGUACCCAGUCUCUGAAUCAAAGAGGGGUGCUGAAUAUAAGGUACCAUUUUUAAUAAGCCAAAAAGGAGUACAAUAGUAAAGUUAACAUUGCUGCCAGAUGAGACGGUAUCACUUAAUAUUGACGAAGAAACUGUCACUGAUACCACGUGGAGGCAUAUGGCACCACACCUGAGCCAGAGACCAUGAUGAAAAGGAAGAAGACAGCUUAGCAGCUGUCUAGGGGAAAGGCUUGUCUAAAGAGUAGAAAAUUGGUUUUGAGUGAGGGAUAGAGUGGGAGUGAGGAGAGGAGGAAACCUCAAAAAGAAUAUGCAUUCAUUGCUAUGAAAGUUGAAGAUAUAUGGGGGAAUUCUCCAAAGGAAAAUUGACUAUAUGAGAUAUACUCAGAAGUUAAAGAAAUAUAUUAGAAUUUACAGAAGGUAAGAGAAGCACCUGGGGAGACUUGAAUGAAAAUAUAGCAAAGAAGGAAAGAGCAAAAGAGGUUAGAAGCUAAAUAAGGAGAAAGUGUGUGUGAAUUAGGGUGAAGAACAUGCAGGGCUGAGGAAUAAACAUGGAAGGGCAUGAAGAGCGCUAAAUGGGAACAUUAGCGAAUGGGAACUGGAGAUGUGUCAGAGGUGUGUAUGAAUAAGGAGAGAAAGUGAGGUUAAAAGGUAGCCAAACAAGAGCUGGAGUAUGAAGUUCUGCGGUCCAGGAUGCUUUUUGGAAAAAUACUGGCAGUAAUGGGUGUGGUCAAUAAGAGUGAAAGGUCAGAAACAAGGCAAGUGGGAUGGACACAAAAGGUAGGCCAGUGACAGGAACCCUCUGGAAGUUUCUGUUGAAUCAAUGGUACAAACAAAUGCUGUGGGAAAGAGUGUGGGACACUUAGGGAAGAUGGCAGGGGCUGAGCAGUGAGUGCCCAACAUGAGGGGAUAUCUGUCCCGAAGCAACAACUGUAUCUGUAAGCAUGCGUAAAUGUAGGUGGAAGCUGAAAAGAGGGACACAGAAGACCAGGAAGCUUGCUUCUCUAGGGCAACACAGGAACAGAGGGAAAGGAAUGAAAGAGCAGUGAAGCUUCCUGCAGAUGUGGAGGGUUGAUUUAAGAAUGGUGUUUAUUGACUGGUGGGUCAUGAUACAGAAUUUGGACUAAGUUUAUAAUGGACUAAGAAGGAAAAGAGAGUUUGUGAAGUGAAUAAAGGACUAUUGUAUGAACUAGAGAAGACUUAAGAAUAAUGGAGUGGCACCAAUACAGAUCAGGGAUGUAAUAAUGAGAUGCAGAAUGGAGAUCUUGAUAUAAGUUUAAAUGUUCACAUUGGAUGGGAAGGCCCAAUGGUAAUGAGUGGUGUAUCUGUUAGGAGAGUUUCAAGGAUCUAGAUAAAAAUGGGAAUUAGAGAGUAGACUAGAAUGCUUUGAGUAAAUUACUCACAGUAAAUUAGAAUGCUGUGAGUAAAAUUUUUUAAUUAAAAGCUUGUUUAAUAGAGUUUAAAGGGGUUUUAUUAAGAUGAAUUCUCAUAAAAAGACACUGUUAGUAACCUUAAAACACAUCAGGAUUGACCAAAUAGGGAGCAUGGGCCAGUGGUUCUUCUGUAGAGAAGAUGAUUUGUAUUUCUUGAGGAAUGGUUGGGAAUCACUAGGGAGGUAAACCUCAGCAGAAAAAUACUGUGCCCUUUGCUGUGAUAUAGGACAGUAGCUGAAACAGUUAAGAUAUGGUAGAGCAUAAAAGAAUAGGAAAGAAGAGGGGGUUUUAAUCUUAAGUAAUGGGAGCAUCGCAUGAAUUAGAAUGGGGUUCUCAGUAGAGUAGCAAAAAGGCAAAUGAGAUAUGGAACUGAAGAGACCUGGAAUGGAGAAGUCUUUCACAUCUCAGAAGGGGUCUGAUUGGUUAAAAAUGUUUGCUGUUAAAGAGGACAGGGAGUGGUGUGUAUAAUGAGAGAGAAGUAAAGGCCUGCAUAUGAAUGAGUAGGAGUUAGAAAGUAGACUAGCACUUACAGUCUUCAUGGAAAAAAAAAUGGGACAAUUUAUAUAAAAAACCCCCAAAGAUAGCAUUACAUAUUAUUUAUGGGUAUAUAAAUAUUUAUGAAAAGUAUAACAAAGUUUAUCAAAUUAUUUAGUGAUUCUUCUCUUAGGAAAGAGGUUAGGUGGUACAUAAGUCUCAAUUAUAUGUGCACUGUUCUGUUCCUUUAAAAAAUAUCAAUCAAAUAUAGUAUAAAAUCAAGAUAUAAAGAAGUGAGGCAGUAGGUGUAUGAAUUUGGGGGGAAUAAAACAUUUUAAAGGGCUGGGUUGAUAAGAAUGUUUAGAAGGCAAAGUUAGGAUGAUAAGUCAUUGAUAGCAACCUGAAAGAUACUGGUUUGACUAGAAAGUGCAGGUGAGUGGUUUAUCUGGUGAAAGGAUGAACUGUAUUUGCUAACAAGUAAAUGUAAGUAUGCCUCAAGGGUACACCUCAAGAGAAGACUUGAGGUGUCCCUCACUAUGAUUAGAGAUGGCAGCCAAAAAUAUUAUAGAUGUUCAUAUAUGACAGAGCAAAUAAUCAAUGGAACUCAGGAAGAACUUGUUGAAGUAUGAUGUUAAACUGCUCAGAAAUUAGUCUGUUAGGACUGGCUGAGAGAAACUGCUGAGAUACGUAUUUUUAAAGAGAGAGAAAGAAAAAGUAGGGAAAAACAGAGGCUGAGGUUUAAGUAAGGAGAAGGGAGUAGAUAUAGGCUGUGGUGCAGAGCAUGCAGUUUCGCAAAAUGUUAAACAAACAAGGGCACUAAAGAGGGCCAGAAUGAGGAGCAUAGGGCCGUCAGAACUGGACGUUCAGUGAAGAACUGUAUGGUAAGCCAGACAUCAACCAGCUGAGCAAAGAAGUGAGAAUAUUGCUAAAUAAGAGCAAGAGUAUGAUGUGUUGCUGCCCAGAAAGUUUUGUUGGAAAAAGAUUUUUAGUAAUCAGCGUAGUCAAUAGAAUGAGAAGUUAGAGAGUGAUUAAAUGCAGCUGGACUUAAAAUGGGCCAAAGCAGGAAUCCUGAUUAGAUUUCAGUACGGAAUGCAGGAAAUAAGGAAGAUGGAUGAAGGUGGAAUUGUGGGUGCUGAAUAUUAGAAGUAUACAUAUCCAGAAAAGAUGAUUAGAUUCAUUGGAAUGAUAUAGCUGGAAGAAGAAGGCAUGUUGGAGGAAACACAGGGAGUUUUCAGCAAAAGGAGGAGGCAGAAAAGGAACAGAAGAGCAAUGUUCAAGUUACUUGCAGAUGGAAAGACAUUAUUUGAAUAGUCAUAGUGAUGAAUGAAAUGGCUAUUACUCCAUACUAAGGCCGGAGGUUAUGACAGAAUAAGAAAAAAAUAAGAGGAUGGCAAGUAAGUAAAGGGGCACAGUAUGAAUUAUAUAGGAGUUCUGAGUAAACAGAAUGGCAACAACAUAGAUCACGUGUGAAUGAAAGAAACAGAACCAUCAGGUCCCUCAACUGUGUUUAGAAUGAAAGAGGAUCUGGGGCCUAAAGAAGAACAGGACUUGGGUAGGCUGGCUCUUGAAGUGUUCGUGGGAAAUUUAUGACUGAAGUGACUACUUGUGAAGAAAUGUUAGAAAGACAUAGAUUAAGAUACAACUUGACAAGAAGGCAUUGGUGGAAACUUAAAGAUAUCACCACUGAUUGACCUUUUAGGAGGCGUGGAUUGGAUACUUUUUUCUGAUAGAACAAAUGAGUGCUAUUGACUAAGGAGUGGUCAGAGAUCAUGAGGAAGCAAACCUCAUAGUGCUAAACUCAUCCAUAUAUUACAGAAUCUGCAGGGAAAGAUAAGGAGAAUGUUUAAGAUGUGGUAGGGCAGAUGUUCAAAAGGAGUUAUGGAAGACUUGCCUGUAAGUAUGAGGUUAGUUUGCCAAGAAGUUAAGGUGUCACAUGAGAGCUGGUUGACAGUGAAAGAAGCAACUGCAAACGCUUGUAUUAAAAAAAGAGGAAAGGGGAAGGGAGAGAAGAUGCUGGUUAGAGAGGGAUGCAUGAAGUAGGUUGGGUAUGUAGCAUGCAAGGUGCAAAAUGGCAAAUAUUCCUGGGACCAGAAUGAAGAAUGUGGGUAUCUCCAGCUGUUUACUACAUUAUCAGAAUACUUGUUAACAUGAAAAGUUUUUAACCUGCAUAUCAUCAUGUGCUCCAGCAACCUGGUACAGUCAGUCAGCACUCUUAAGCUGGCAAAAACUGAGUCUGUACUGUUUGGGAUAGUGUAUGUUUGCUGCAGAUAUAGUUCCUCCAUCUAUAAGCUCACUUCCUAUGCUCAAGGGUUUUAAAUGUGUUGUGCAUUAUUCCUGUCGUCUUCCCUACAAUAUGUGUGGAUCAACUCCAGCAAUUCACCAGUUGGUAAGUAAAUGUUUCCCAAAAGUUUCUUACACAUUGCAUUUAAAAAAUGUAUCUGCAUUUGGUAUUUCUCUUGAGAACCUUUCAUUAUCCAUGCAGUGUAAAAUGGAGAAUGCAAUUACAGUCUUAUAGUAUGGGGUCAUUUUGCACUACAAACAAACAUGUACACUAGUGAAUGAAUUUUAUGCUAAAUAAUUAUGUAGUUGUUCUUGAAAGUGGUUUAUAAGAAAUACUUAAGAGUUUUUUAUAAUAGCAUUUUUGUGAUGGUUGAGAAGAUACAUUGGAUUUUUUUUUUAAUGAAGAUGGUUACAGGCCUUUUGAAUUUAAGAUAUUGCAAUAUAAGCAUUUACUAAGAAAAACUGUUAUUCAGCAUAUUUUAAAGAAAAGAUAAUGAAAAUUGCUUGUCCUUAUAAAGCAGCUGAGCCAGGAAGAGAACUAGGUGGUGAGGCAUUUAUUAAAAAAGAAAGGUGGGGAGAUAAAGUGAUAACUGAAAAUGAGACAUAAGGACAGGAUCUGCGAAAGCAUGUCUGCAUAAGACAGUGUAGUUGGCAGAAAGGUCAAAGAGAAACUCAGUGAAGUGGCCCUAUAACAAGACAAAUUGCAGGGCUCCAACCAAGGAAUAAAUAGAAAACUAAAGCAAUUCAGCAAAAUAUGUAAGAAAGGACAAACAUGGAACUGGAUUGAGCAAUGAAUGUAGAACAAAAAGAACCAAAGAGGGAGGUAUUAGUGAGUGUGUGAGAAUGGAACAUACUCAGUAUAAAACGGUUAAUAAAAGGUAGAAUAGGGAAAGAAGAAACAGAAGAGAAUGGGUGGAAAAGCAAAAUCUAACCUUAGAUGGGAAAGAUCGCGUGAGCAAUGAUAUGCUGAAAAACAAGGUUUGGUAUAAUUGUAUCUAAUGGAGCAAGGAAGAAUGUAGGUGAUAGAAAUCAAGGAAAGAGCACUGUAUGGAUAAAAACAUUUGUGAGAACAAAAUUAAACACAGGGGAAAACAGUUUCACAACAAGGAGAUCCUUGCUGAGGGCAGAAAUGGACACAGGAUUAAAGACAGGUCAAAAGUAUUAAAUAAGUGAAGGCAGAUGGAAACAAGUCAGAAGGCAACUGCAUACAUUAGAGUGGAAUAUUACAAAAAGGCAAAGUGAAAAAAGAAGACAGAAACAAAGAGGGGUUCAGCUGACAUGGGGGAAAGGAUGCCAUGGAAUGAAUUAAAAACUGCACAUCCGCAUGUAGAAAGGAUUUAUAACUUGGUAAGAUGGUACUGGGCAAAUUAUGAAAUGGGGUUGGGUUGAGGUAUGCAGGCUUGGAAUAUGGCAGAGAAGAGAAAGGGGAACAAAACAGAUAAGCAAAACUAGAGUUUUUCCGAGGAAUCAAGGAGCCCAUGAGAAGAAACAAGAAGGAGACGAAAAUGCCCUUAUCAGUAAUAAUGGAAAUAGAGGAAGAACAAAGGAAAGGAAAACUGCAUGGAUUACAUAGCGACAAUGACAAAACUAGAGUCUAGUAACACCCGAUGCGUGAGGAGGAGAAUAGCAAAGACUGGGUAAAGUAAGGAGGGAGAACACAGAAUCCUGCCCAGCUCGUUACAGCAUAUAAACUUAAAACAUGUGAAGUGUUAAUGAAAGAAGAAAAUAUUAAAUGAGAAUGUGAGUGAAAUCAGGUUAAGAACAGGGGUUAAACUCACAUACACCUUUUAAUACCUGGGUUCAGGAAGAUUCAAGUUUUCAACGAGAUCUAGAAAGGAGAGAAAUUAAGAGUCUGGCAAUGAGACUAUAGUAGAGGAACAAAGGAUGAGAGGAAAGGUUAGAGCGUUUCCUGCAAAAUAUUAAAUACACAAAAGAAUGAGAGCUGCAAUGAGUAGAUUUCCAGGGUCUAUAACACAGGGAACAAGAAACACUUUGAAAACUGUAAUACUGGAAUGAAUGAGGGAUGGUUUAGGAAGUUUAUGAAGAAAGAAUUAAAAUCCCAUUCAACAGUUAUUCCUGACCAAGAGGGAAGGCAGACUUAAGAAAAUGAAAAGUUUAACUGGGAAAAAAAGGCUGGAGUUUGGGGCAUGUAAGAUGGACAGGAAUGAGGUGGUUCCAGGAGGACCAGGACAGUGCCUGGCCAGUGUCAGGGCAGCAGAGCUGGGAUCUUUGAGGAGCUUGCAAGGGGAGAGUGCAGCCCAGGGAGGCAGGCUGGCCCUCCACAGCAGUGAUUCUUCCCCGGGGUGGGGGGGGUGGUUUUCACCCGCGGGGGGGCUGGGGCAUGGACCCCAAGGGAGGCCUAUCAGAACAUCGGAGGGCGAGCAGCGCUCUGCUCCAAACAAAAACAAACCCAAAAACAUGCAAAAAGAAAACACAAAAACAUUCCUCAGAGAUGCUGCUGAUAGGCCAGCCUUGGGGGUCAUGCAUCCUCGGGUGAGAAUCACUGGGGGGGAGGGCAGGUGGAGAGCUGGGCAGAGAGGUGAAGGGUGAGCAGAUGAGCCCAUGGGUGGGGCAGAGGGAGGCAUCAGAGUCCAGACUGUCAGACUUGGAGAAAGGACCCAGGACCAGGCAGACAGCUAGCAAAUGGAUGUAGCCGACAAGGCACCUGGAACGGUGGGGGCUGGGGGUGGGACUGGGGAGGUGGUUACUAUCAGUUGGUUGGGAGUGGAUUGCAAGCAUGGUGUCCCUGGGCUUAAGACUUCUGAGUAGGGCUAAGGGAGAUGGAAAUGGUGACUGAAAGGAAGGAGAGUUGAGUGUAUUUGCGUAGAGCACGUGAAGGGACGUCCACACGAUGGAAGGGGCAGAGCGGGUGGGAGAGCUCAGAGCAUCUGGCCAGAGAGGUGACUGCUAGGAGCGGGGAGGAGGAGGAGGGGGAGACAGCAGGCCCAGGCUCUGUGCAGGUCUGGACAGAGGGUGGAGGUGUCGGGGGCGGGGGCUGGCCAGCAGGUGUGGGGGCAAGAAGGUGAGAAGAAGUGAGAGCGCUGUGGUGAAAGGAAGGGGGAGCAGAAUCAGAGGCUGAGGAUCCCUGAGAGCUGUGUCAGAGUGUGAGACGAGGGUCUGCAUGGAAACAUGAAGGGUUACAGGGGCUGUGGGACCUGGGAGGUGAGCUCAGCCGGGCUCUGUAGCAUGUGCUGAAGGGUGGAGCCUGUGGGUUCAGCAGAGUGUGUCUGAGGCAGAGACGACUGAACUGGGUUGAGCAGCGGAUGGGAGUCUGAGAAGGGCGCACAGGCAGAGGAGAGAACUGAGGCUGGCUGGAGGGUUCACAGAGAGUAGCGCAAGUGUUGCUGUGCGAGCCCUGGAAAAAGCAGGAUAGACCUAGAAACAGGGCCCAGGAUGUGGGAGGUCAGGUGAGCUGCUCGGACAACUGAGACAGGGUGGUGGUGGAGUGGGGGUCCGAGAGGAGUAGUGGAAGGUCCUGGACCCUUGCAGCUAAGGAAUGUGAAAUUAUGAGAGGAUCAUGGAAUCCACCACCUCAGGAGAGGGAUUGCAAAGAGUCUGAAGGAGUUGUUGUGGAAAAUCAUAUACUCUGCCUCCCACAGUUGGGCAAGUGUACGAGAGACCCCAUGCAGGAUGUAGAGCAGUGUGGGUGCGGCCAGCAGGGCGCCUAGGAGAUCAUGAUGGGACGGUGGACCGCCAGAGAGGAGCCCAGAGAGGUGGUCUGUCUCCAAGAUGGUGGCCCCAAUAGGACAAGGGUUCGGCGCAAAGCAGGACAGCAGAUGGCCAGGGCGUUACUCGUGGCACCGGAGGGAGCAUUAGGGCAGGUCCAGAAGUGAGUGGGCGUCAAGGAAAGACCAUCGGCUCUGUGGCAUGCUGGCCAGAGGUAAGAGGUUCAGGAAGACUCAAAGAUAAGAGAGAAAGAAAAGGCAGAGGUGGGCCCGGUAAGGCUCCAUCCACACUCAUUGUGGGAAAAGGGACAGUGGAGUCUGGGCGCAGCUGUGAGCUGGCAGUCCCUGAAACUCACUGGGGCGUCAAGGGAAGAGAAAGGGGCAGCAGAGGGGAGAACAGCUCAUGGGGGUGCUAGGGGCUUGGACACAGUAAAGGGGGCACUGUGGACAAGGUGAAGGCCAUGUGAACAGUGCCUAGUGUGGGGAUGUUGGCAGAUCUUGGGGGUAAGAGUACUAGAAAUCUGUGGUAUUGAGUGGAGACAGUAGGACCAGAGCUGGGAACCUGUGGCCCUCAGGAGCAAACAGCGGAAGGGGCCCAGCGACAGGCGUGGAACUGAGGAAACAGGCCGGCGCUGCACAGCGAGACAGGCUCUGUACAGAGCGCUGGCAGGCAUUCUUAGGGCCUUCAGAGUGGGCACACGUGGGCGAGUGCAGUGUGGGGUAGCAGGUGUGCCGAGAAAUGGUGGAUGAGGGAGCAGGAGCCAAGGAGGGGACACUCACAACCAUGGCUGGAUCCAUGCACCUGCUCAUGGGGCAGGGGGGCGGCACUGCAAAGGGUGGGAGUCUAAAGUAGUAGAGAGAUUCCACCCAGAGAAGCUGGGGGAGAGGAGGCACCAUGAGAACCUGUGUGGCGUCAGAGCUGUAGCCUGAAAAGAUCACGUGGGCAGCAAAGGGGUGCAGAGGGAGGGCAAGGGGUGGGGUGAUGGGGGUUAGGUCAGGGUCUCCUGUUUGAGAGGCUGAGAGCUGAUGGACAGGAGAGGGAACAAGGCAGAUGGGAUGGAUGGAGAGUGGGGUGGGGGGUGGUGGUCACAGAAAUCUGCACACAGGUGGGGUGAAUGGAAUGUGGCCAAGAGGGAAAGAGGGCCAGGGGGACCUGGAAUAUUUUAGGGGGGAACGUGAGGUCAAGGACAGCUUGCAGGGGUGCAGCAUGGGAACUGAUGGAGAAGAAAUGGAAGCAGUGGUGGCCAGGGAAGGAAGGAAGAGGAGGAGGAAGCGGCAGCUUGGGGUAAAGAACUGUGGGCAAUGGCUUGACCAAGAGGGAAGAAAGGAGAAGGAANNNNNNNNNNNNNNNNNNNNNNNNNNNNNNNNNNNNNNNNNNNNNNNNNNNNNNNNNNNNNNNNNNNNNNNNNNNNNNNNNNNNNNNNNNNNNNNNNNNNNNNNNNNNNNNNNNNNNNNNNNNNNNNNNNNNNNNNNNNNNNNNNNNNNNNNNNNNNNNNNNNNNNNNNNNNNNNNNNNNNNNNNNNNNNNNNNNNNNNNNNNNNNNNNNNNNNNNNNNNNNNNNNNNNNNNNNNNNNNNNNNNNNNNNNNNNNNNNNNNNNNNNNNNNNNNNNNNNNNNNNNNNNNNNNNNNNNNNNNNNNNNNNNNNNNNNNNNNNNNNNNNNNNNNNNNNNNNNNNNNNNNNNNNNNNNNNNNNNNNNNNNNNNNNNNNNNNNNNNNNNNNNNNNNNNNNNNNNNNNNNNNNNNNNNNNNNNNNNNNNNNNNNNNNNNNNNNNNNNNNNNNNNNNNNNNNNNNNNNNNNNNNNNNNNNNNNNNNNNNNNNNNNNNNNNNNNNNNNNNNNNNNNNNNNNNNNNNNNNNNNNNNNNNNNNNNNNNNNNNNNNNNNNNNNNNNNNNNNNNNNNNNNNNNNNNNNNNNNNNNNNNNNNNNNNNNNNNNNNNNNNNNNNNNNNNNNNNNNNNNNNNNNNNNNNNNNNNNNNNNNNNNNNNNNNNNNNNNNNNNNNNNNNNNNNNNNNNNNNNNNNNNNNNNNNNNNNNNNNNNNNNNNNNNNNNNNNNNNNNNNNNNNNNNNNNNNNNNNNNNNNNNNNNNNNNNNNNNNNNNNNNNNNNNNNNNNNNNNNNNNNNNNNNNNNNNNNNNNNNNNNNNNNNNNNNNNNNNNNNNNNNNNNNNNNNNNNNNNNGUUUGACAGAGCUGGACAUGGGAGGGGGAUGUUUGGGAUCAAGGUUGGGGGGGGUGGUUAUGAGCCAACCCCUGAUACUGGGAACAUCAUGUGCUUUAACUGAGCUUCUGGACUGAUGGCAUGCCCAGUGUUGGGGUGGUGACUACAGGUUGAGGACUGGGAGGACCAGUGAGUCCACAGAGAGGACAAAGGGGAGUCACUGCAGGAAGGGAGGAAGGGGAAGGUCUGUUCAGUGGAAACACAGAGAGACAGGGAGACUGGGGGGGAGGGCAAGGCUCCCCAGGAGGAUGGUGUCACAGGUCUGAAAUGAAGAGGGGUAACCUGGGGUAAUGGACAGAGCAAGUGCCAAGAAGGACAGGUUUGCACCAAAGAUAUUGUCCCAAUGCCUGAGAGUCAUAAAGGGUGAGGGGUGGGGAGAGGAGUGUUGGCAGGGGGUGUGGCUUAACAAGAGAAGUGCUCUAAUGCAGACUGGGGUCUGGGGCACGUCAGGUGUCAGGAAGCUAACGUGGAAGGGAAUGAGGGGGUUCCAGGGGGACAGUGCUGGGCCAGUGUCAGGGCAGCAGAGCUGGGAUCUUUGAGGAGCUUGCAAGGGGAGAGUGCAGCCCAGGGAGGCAGGCUGGCCCUCCACAGCAGUGAUUCUUCCCCGGGGUGGGGGGGGUGGUUUUCACCCGCGGGGGGGCUGGGGCAUGGACCCCAAGGGAGGCCUAUCAGAACAUCGGAGGGCGAGCAGCGCUCUGCUCCAAACAAAAACAAACCCAAAAACAUGCAAAAAGAAAACACAAAAACAUUCCUCAGAGAUGCUGCUGAUAGGCCAGCCUUGGGGGUCAUGCAUCCUCGGGUGAGAAUCACUGGGGGGGAGGGCAGGUGGAGAGCUGGGCAGAGAGGUGAAGGGUGAGCAGAUGAGUCCCCGGAUGGGGCAGAGGGAGGCAUCAGAGUCCAGACUGUCAGACUUGGAGGAAAAGGACCCAGGACCAGGCAGACAGCAAGCAAAUGGAUGUAACGGACAAGGCACCUGAAUCAAGGGGGUGGGGUGGGGUGGAAUUACUGUUAAUUCGUCAGAAAAGAAUUGCCAAUGUGGUGGUCCCAGAGCUGAGGAUGCCUGAGGGCUCUUAGGGCUGAUAGAGAUGGGAGGACAGCUUGAACAGAUGGUGGGUCGUGUGUAUGUGAGCAGAGAGAGCGCACCAGAAAGGAGGGGAGAUUCACGCUGAAGGAAGGGGCAGAGGGGAUGGGAGAGCACAGUCCAGGAGAGUGUCUGGGGGAGAGAUGACUGCACAGGAGGGAGGGAGGAGAAGGAGACAAGGAGGCUGGAAGGCACACCCAUGACUGUGUAGGGUGAGACUGAGCUGUGGUGUGAAUCUGGCAUCAGCAAGUGCAGAGUGAGAGAAGACCAGAAAGUGCCAAUGUGGGAGGAAGAAGGAGAAUCAGGAGAAAAGGCUCCCUGAGAGCUGUGUCAAAAAAAAUACGCAACAGAGGAGUCUGAAUAGAGAUAUGUAAGGUUAUGGGCAGCGACAUGUUGGGAGCCUGGAAGGAAACCACAUGCUUCACAGGGAGUGAGCAGGGGUUGGUGCACAGGGCAUGUGGAUUUAGUACAGUGUUUCUGAACAAAGACAAAGACGGCUGUAUCGGGGUGAACAGAAGGUAGUGCAUGGAGAAGGGAGCAUAGGGCAAAGGAGACAACUGACUCCAGCCAGAACUUCGCAGUGGCACCUGAAGGAUAUCACAUGGCUCGAGAGGGCUGCUCCUUUGCUAUGUAGGCAGUAACUGAAGAGCAGCAGAGACCUGGAAAUGCGACCCAGCAGUCUCCUAAGCAAGGGAGAAUGUGGUCAAGAGAGGUACUAAGAGUGAGGACGGGCUCGCUGUGGAGCCUGGUGGCUAAGGCAGGAGAGGCUUGUUGGAAAGGUCAGGAAAGCCCUGCACCAAGUGCGGGGUAGGAUAGAGUGUGUACGUGGGAGUGGACGUGGAGAAUCCAGGAACUUUUGCCCCUAGUAACGGACUGAAGGCAUGAGGAAGUCCGUGCAGGAGGCAAAGCAAAGCAUACAUGAGGCCCGCGGGGGAAAUAGGAGUGGCGAGAGAAGGCCGGGGGAGGAUGAGGUGGUGGUCAGAGGUGCUGGCCCCUGAAGCCCGUGGGAGACAACUGUGUCCGUGUAGGGCAUGGGCAGACACACCAGGCCAGAGAAGCCCACAGAAGCACCAACCUUCUCCAAGAAGGUAGACCAGAAAAGGUGGGGGAGAGCAGGACUCCUUCCCCGUAUUAAAGAGGAAGAGGCUGACAAUAGGUGGAGCAUCGCGGCAGGAGGAGCAGAGAUCAAGGAGAAGACCCAUGAAUUGCCCCAGAACUGGCAGGUGGAAGGGGCUGCUGAAAGUGAAGUAGAGGUUCUUGUGGGAGAAAAGGAGGACAGGGGCUGUCAGUUUAGUGCGUAACCAGUGUGCAGAGGGAGACGCACGCUGCAGUCUGGCAGCCACACAAGGCGAUCUGUGGGACUCCAGUGGUUCAGGGGAGUGGAUGGGAGGAGAAAGGACUGGCGGCAGGCAACGGGCGUCAGGAAGGAGGAAGCUCACCGCCGUGUGAGGGACUCAGGGGCAGCAUCAGGUGGAGGUGACCCUGGGCGGUGGUCUCUGAUCUGAGCUUCUGCUCUUCCUGGGGGCUGGAGAGGGUGGAGGUCCAGCAUGUACUCUGCCCAGGAGGAGGAGGAACCUUGGCUAGUACGGGGGUUGUAGUCCAAGAAGGUAAUGUUGGAAGCAAAGGGCCACAGAGGGGGGAGAGCAGGGGGUGGGGUGAUGGGGGUUAGGAGGUCAGGGUCUCCUGUUUGAGAGGCUGAGAGCUGAUGGACAAGAGAGGGAACAAGGCAGAUGGGAUGGAUGGAGAAUGGUGGGGGGUGGUGGUCAUAGAAAUCUGCACACAGGUUGGGUGAAUGGAAUGUGGCCAAGAGGGAAAGAGGGCCAGGGGGACCUGGAAUAUUUUAGGGGGGAACGUGAGGUCAAGGACAGCUGGCAGGGGUGCAGCAUGGGAGCUGAUGGAGAAGAAAUGGAAGCAGUGGUGGCCAGGGAAGGAAGGAAGAGGAGGAGGAAGUGGCAGCUUGGGGUAAAGAACUGUGGGCAAUGGCUUGACCAAGAGGGAAGAGAGGAGAAGGAAGUUGAGACAGGAAAAGGGAGCCUAAAGACCAUAGCCUGGUCUUGGAGAAGACCCAAGGCUCCUAGGAGCAGCUGGAGACAGGGGCCAUGAUGACUGGUGACGUGGAGGAAACGGGCAGCUCUGCAUAGGGAGAGACAAGGGAGCUGCACAGAAACAGUGCAGGGAGCCUCGGGGGCUUGAGGAGGGACUCAAGGGGAUGGAGUCCAGAGUGGGGAGCAGACAGAAUUGGCAGAGGAGUGGCCGGGAAUUAAAGUGGCAUCAACACUGCUUCUGUUAUUUACAAGGGACCUCUAAAGGACGGAGGAGGCCUAGAACGUGGCAGAGAGAUUCCACACAAGGAACCAGGGGGGAAAAACAGGGACCUUCAAACCACAGGUCUAGUCAGAGAAGAAAAUGGGGGAGGCAGGGAGGCACAGGAAGAGAGAGCGGAGGGCAGGAUGGUGGAGACUGGGGUUGGGGGCUCAGAUCAGGAGGCUGGAUGUGGGGAACAGAGGGGCAGGCAGAAUGGGAUGGAGAACCAGAGUCUUAAAGCACAGCUGAGAGGGAGAGAGGGCAAAGGGGAGAUCCGAAUCAUGUCAUCAGGGAGCAGGAGAGCAAGGCAACGGGCAGGAGUGCAUUCCAGGGUCUGAGGAGGAGAGGGGGGAGCAAUGGAGGAGGAGGAGGGAGGAGGUGGGGAGGCAGGGGCCUGGUGUAAAUCCUGUGAGCAGUGGCUUGAUUAAAAGGGAAGUGAGAAAAGAAGAGAGUGCCAGGCUAAGGAAAGGGAGCCUAAAGGGAAACCAUGGCCCGAGCCUCGGAAGGACUGAAUGAGAGACAGUGGGUGGUUCUGGAGAGAAGGGGGCAGGGCAGGGGAUGGAAAGAGUGUGAGCUGGGAGAGCAGGUCCCAGGAGGGAGCACCCCCUAUGGAGAAGGGAUGACCCAGGGCAGUGAUGACAGGCAUCAGGGAGCAUGGAGAGGAGAUGAUGGGCCUAGAGGAGAGACUGACGCUCUCCCUGGGCCAGGGAGGGGAAGGCAAGGAGUGGAUCACGUGAGGAAAGGUGACAGGAAGGAACGUCCACAUGGGGUCUUGAUGUGGCAGGACAGGAGGGUCACCUGCCAGAGACAGACCAGGUGAUGGGAGGCACCCGGGGAGGAUGGAGAGCAGAGGGCAGGGGAAGGAACACAGGCUGGACAGCAGCAGGGGGAGCAAAGGGAAGAGGGAGGUGGGCAGGUCGGAAUCCAGGCAGAUCUCGAGGUGCCAACCAGAAGGACUUAAGAGUUACAGGGCCAGCCAGUGGGGGCAGAGGCUUGGGGAGGGAGGCGAGGAAAGGGGUGGCUAGCAGUGGAUGGGAGCAGCGGCUGCUGCUACAGCCUUGAAUGUUGUGACUGGGGUAGAACUUCUUUGCCAGGCUCUUUACUACUACGGAUCCGCUGGGGGAGGGGGGGAGGGAAUAGGAUGGGGUGGGAGGUGGGGGUAGGGAGUGGGAUGGGGUUUUGGGAAGGGAUUGGGAUCAAUGGGUAUGUGGGAAGGGUGGAGGGUGGGGUGGGAGGUGGGGAUGGGGUGGGAGGUUGUAUGAGGUGGGAGGGACUGGGUUAGGGUGGGGGUGGGAUGGGGUUUGACUGGGUUGGGGGGAGGGCAGGGUUGGGAUUAUUGGGGUGGGAGAUUGCCAGGGGAACUUGAGCCAAACUCUAGGCACUGGGAACAUCAUGUGCUUUAACUGAGCUUCUGGACUGAUAGAACGUCCAGUGUUGGGGUGAUGGCUACAGGUUGUGGACCAGGAAGACCCGUGAGUCCACACAGAGAGGACAAAGGCGAGUCUCUGCAGGAAGGCAGGAAGGGGAAGGUCUGCUUGGUGGAAUCCCAGAGGGACAGGGGGACUGGGGGGACGUGAGCACAACAGGGGCUAGGCUCCCCAGGGGGACAGUGUCGCGGGUCUGAGAAUGCAGAGUGGCNNNNNNNNNNNNNNNNNNNNNNNNNNNNNNNNNNNNNNNNNNNNNNNNNNNNNNNNNNNNNNNNNNNNNNNNNNNNNNNNNNNNNNNNNNNNNNNNNNNNGGGGCAUGGACCCCAAGGGAGGCCUAUCAGAACAUCGGAGGGCGAGCAGCGCUUUGCUCCAAACAAAAACAAACCCAAAAACAUGCAAAAAGAAAACACAAAAACAUUCCUCAGAGAUGCUGCUGAUAGGCCAGCCUUGGGGGUCAUGCAUCCUCGGGUGAGAAUCACUGGGGGGGAGGGCAGGUGGAGAGCUGGGCAGAGAGGUGAAGGGUGAGCAGAUGAGCCCCUGGGUGGGGCAGAGGGAGGCAUCAGAGUCCAGACUGUCAGACUUGGAGGAAAAGGACCCAGGACCAGGCAGACAGCGAAUAAAUGAAUGUAGCCGACAAGGCACCUGAAUGAAGGGGGGUGGGGGGUAGGAUGGGGGGUGGUUUACUGUCAAUAAAUGGGGAGUAGAUUGCAAGCAUGGUGUCCCUGAGCUUAAGAUUUAAAACUCUUUAGUAGGGCCAAGGGAGAUGGAAGUAAUGACUGAAAGGAAGGAGCGUUGUAUGUAUUUGUGCAGAGAACACCAGAGGGGAUGUCCACACAAUGGAAGGCCUUGGCAGAGGGGGUGGGAGAGGUAGUGCAGAAGAGCGUCUGGGGGAGAGAUGACUGCUAGGAGGGAGGAGGGCAGGAGGGCAGACAGCAGGCCCAGCAGGUUGUGUACACUUGUGCAGAGAACACCAGAGGGGACGCCCACACGAUGGAAGGGGCGGCGGGGGUGGGAGAGGUCGGGGCGUCUGGUAGAGGUGACUGCCAGGAGGGAGGAGGAGGGGGAGGAGGAGGGCGGACAGCAGGCCCAGGGCUCUGUGCAGGUCUGGACGGAGUGUGGAGGUGUCAGGAAGGGGGCUGGCAGGUGUGGGGCAAGAGGGUGAGAAGAAGGUAAGAGUGCUGUGCUGAAAGGAAAAGUAGGAGAAUCGAAGGCUGAGGCUCCCCGAGACCUGAUCAGAAGACUGUGAGACAAGGGUGUGGAUGGAAACGAAAGGUUACAGGGAGGGGCAACAUGGGGUCAUGGCGCCCAGGAGGUGAGCUCAGCCUGGUACGUGAGGGUGGGUUGGAAGAUACAGCGUGUGGAUUCAGCAGUGUAUCAGUGCUGAAGCAGAGAGUCCUGAACUGGUUUGAGCAGAUGGUGAGGAUCAAGAAGGAUGCACAGGACAGAGAAGAAUGAGCUGGAAGAUUCAGACAGUAGCCUCUUUAAAGAAUGUCACAUGACUAAGGUUGCAUAGUUUCUUUUGCAUUUGUGCAGUAGAGAAGAAGUCAGGAGAGAUGAUGAAAUCAGGCCCCAGGGGUAGGAGGGAUCAGGUGAGCAUUCUGAAACAGGUGGUAGAGGAGAGGACGUCUAAUGGGUAAGAAGAGUGAGGAAGGUGAGGCGAUGGCACCCGUUAUCUAGUGUGGGAGAGGGUAGUUGAGAGGGUCAGGGAACACAGUGCAUGAAGUGUGACAGCAAAGUGGCAAAAGGAUGGAGCCGAUGUCCAUCCAGGAGCUCUGCCCCCAUGAGUGGGUCAAGGCAGUGAGCAAGCCCGCACAGGAGACAGAGGACAGCACAGUUGAGGCCAUGGUGGAACAUGGGAGAAGUGGAUGAGGCAGAGGAGGAUGAGCUGGUAGAGGCAGUGGGCUGUAGAAAGUGUCUGAAACAAGGCUGUCAGUGCAGAGCAUGACUAGAUGAAAUGAUAGAAGGUCUGACAGAAGCCUGAGGGACCUGACAAGACAGGUACUUAGGGAUGACUGGGAACAGCAUACAGAGUCACUGCAGUAUGUUGCAGACCAAGAGCUGGCUACAGGGGAGCAUGAGGGAGGCUCAAUGAGAGAGCAGAUAUCAAGGAAAAGCCCACUGUCCCUGUGGGCAGGUGGUCGGGGAAGCAGGAUGGCGUACUGAGGACAAAGCAGAGGGGCUGGAACACAAGAGUGGAGAAAAGGCAGAGGAUGGUUGAGCAAGGCUCACUCGCACUCAGCGUGCAGAGACAGAGACUUCGGGUUCUGGAGUGGCUGUGAAGGUGGUGGGCCAGUGUUGAGAUGGGUGAGGAGAGUCAAUGGGAAAAGAAAGGGACAGGCAGCAUGGAGGGCAGGGAGGACCUCAUGGCUGUGUAAAGGGUCAGGGUAGUUAAAGGGGGCUCCACAGAAAAGGGGAAGACAGCUUCAAGAGCUCCCAAUCUGGAAUCCAGCAGAUCUCAUGGGCAGGAGGGGUACCGUAUGUGGUAUGGAGGCCAGACAGUAGGUGCAGACUAGUGACUAUAAGAAAGCAGAGGUGCCGUCUGUCACGACCAGGAGCAAGCACUGUUUUAUGGGAAGAGAGACAAUGCAGAAUGCUUAUGGAGGGAGAGGCUACAACAUGGUCAAGUACAAAACAAAAGUGGUACGGUGCAAUCAACAGGAUUUUUAAAGAACUGUAUUUAGCACUGAGAAAAUAUGCCUCCUACACAAACCUGAUAAAGUGUUCUUAUGUUUGUUGUUUUUCUAAUGAAAGUGAGCAAAGGAAAAAUGGAAAGAAGUGGUUAAAGUGGGAACUUAGUUGACAGUAUACAUAUAAAUCAUUCUUGCGAUUAUUAAGGAACAUUAUUACAGUUAUGAUGCAGAGUGCUACCUGUUCAACUUGAUCACAAUUAAUGAAAUAAGGAAAAAUGGGAGAAAACAUAAAAAGAAAUCGUCACAAGGAAACUGGUGGCUGCCUGAAAAAAAUCUAUCAGGUAAUUAUGUCAGAGUGGGUGGAUUCAAGAGAAUAAAUGGUCAUAUAGAGAGAAAGUCAAAAAACAAAAUCUGAAGGGGGAGCAUGAGCAGCAGUCCUCGUGCCAUUAGUACUCUGGACGUCAGAGAUGAUAACGCAUGCCAGAGGAUGGGAGUGUUUGAACAAUAAAGAGUAGGUUCACAUUUUCACAUACUGAAGGCAUUUAAAGGCCAGACUGAACCAAACCUGGGGGGUACCAACCAGCAGAGGCUUUUUCUAAGGCUACAAGAGAGGGAAGAAGAAAUGAGUGGAUGUCCCAUGGUUACACUGCACUCUGGAGAGGGGUUAUCAUUCAAGAAAGGCAGCAAUAAAGAUGACAGCUAUCAGUGAUGAUGGCGAACAUGAAAUAGGACAGGAAGAAAGGUUCAAAGCCAGCACAGAGGAAACGUUAAAAACUUCAGUGUUUGGAGAAGGGGAAAUUGGUUAUGAGAUGAAUGAACAAGUGAAUGAGUGUCUCAGGCUUGAACCUUGGCCAGUCUCUUUAACAGGUCAAACUUGGAGGAAUAUGGACUCUCUAGCUAGACUCAUACAAAUUCUGGUGAUAAAGGGAAUGGAUAUAUUGUGGCUAAAUAGUAAUGUUCAACUUAUCCUGCCUGCUUUUUUUAGUGUUUGAACAAAGAUUGCAGAUUAUGUGCUUAGCUUGGAAGAAUGCAAGGUUUCAUUAAGGAUCAGUAAUAUGAAUCCCAGUGAGUGGUUGGAGGUGAGUCAGAGUAAAAAGAAACUGAGAUAAAUUUUGAAAUUGUGGAUUUAAUUCGGAAUGUCAGGAGUUAAUAUGAUCAAUACUGAACAGCAAAUAAUGGAAUGGAAACAGCAGCUUCAGAGAAGAGUUUGGAGUCCAUCAGAAUCCUGGGGUAGCUCCAGUUAAUAUAAAGGUUUAAGGAGGUGUGGGCAGAAAGUCGAGAACUACAGUAUGAAUGUAGGUAUGUGUCAUGUGAAAGAGUUGUGAGCUGUUAAGUGGGAGGCAGCAUCCCUAGCGAAAACCAGAAAAAGAUUCAGACAUGUACUGUUAAAUAUGACCUUGGUAUGGACACUUUCUGUUGAGGGCCAUUUAAAUUUGCUCAGAUGGUUUGAGUUAAGAAAUAUGAUUCUAUAAGAACUGAGAGUUCAAUAAUAAAAGCAAUAUAGGGAUUAGAAUGAUUCUGAGUAAGUAAUAAAACGAAAGGGUAUGGUCAUUACAGAGGUCCCAAGGAGGGAAAAAAUUCAUAGAAUGUUGCAUAUAUGUGUUGUUACUGGUGUAAUAAACAUGCAGAGGAAAGAAAGUUGCUGUGUGAGAAAGGACACUAGGAAAGUAUGCUCCCUUGAAGGCUUUUCUGACAUUUUUUAAGUAAAGGGUAGUUGCUGGAGGACAGAUCAGUAGGACUAAUUGAGACUUAAGAUGUUGAUUACCCUUUUUAUAAUUUCCCAAUAUUUCAAGGAAGGAGUUAUGGUAAUACUUGAUGUUGAGUUUAAAUUUUUUUCAGAUGGCACAGAUUUUUUUGUACACUUUCACAGUAAGGAAAAAUGGGAAGGUUUAAAGAUAAAGAAAAGAUAAGAACAACUGACAGAAUAACUUUCUGAGGAAAUUGGUGGGUCUCUAUCUUUUGAACUGUGAACGGCUUGAUUUCUAAAGAGUUAGGUAAAGGGAGAAAGUGGAUAGUUUCAGAAUACCUUCUAUCUAUUAAGUAUUUACUAUGUGUCUGGCACCAUACUCAUCACUUAAUUUCAUUUUAUCCUUACAAUAAUUCUAAAAGGCGUACAGAGAUCAAAACAUUUGCCUACAAUUAAGCACUCAGUCUGUAGCAGAGUCAGAAUUCAAAUCCUAAUUUAUCUGUCUCCAAAACCUAUUUUCCUUCCUAUUCUGUAUAGUUUUCAGGUUGAAGGAAGGAAAUCACAAUCUAUAGAAUUUCUAUUUUUUUUCCUGUAACUAUGUGGAAAAUAUCUUUUCUGAGAUGAGACAGGCAGAGGUGAUAUAUAGAUCUUUAUGUAAUUGGCUAAGAUUCAGAAUAUCUGCAACAGGAAAAUGCUGAAAGGAAGGAAUAGGGAAAAAAGACUUGUAUUACCACCUGUGCCCUGGUAUUUCUCUUCUAUUCAUUGCACAGCAAAGACUUGGGAUUGGCCAUAGGCUCAAAAUUUCAUAAUUUCUAACAUAGACUAAAGAAUAGAAAGGAGUUUUUUUUUGUUGUUGUUGUUUUUUUUCCUAAGCAGGUAACUGAUGGGUAAAAUCAUUGGUAAAAUCAGUAAGUCAACCUACUAAUUUUUUAAAACUUUCAAAGUUUUAAAAGUCCAAAUGUUGAGACUAAAUUUCAUUUCUUUUAUCCAAGAUACAAUCACCAGAGUUUAUAACUGAGUUUGAACACCAAUCAGCAAACCCUUUUGAAUUUAGAAAAUUCUCCAAAUGCCAAAUUUUUAUAAACAAAAUACUAACAACCAAAAAAAAAACCCCAAUAACAACCAUCAACCAAAAGAGUCCAUAGCCAGCAGACCAAAAGCUGAAACCUCUGGGCUAAUUUGUAAGAUAUAUGUUUUAAAAAGAAAUUAACUCCUUAGUAAGGAGGAAUAAAACCUCCCUUAUGCUUUCUGUGUUGGUAGAAAUGUUUUCUGUUGUUGUUGUUUUCUCCUAUACUGUAUGUAACUUCUGUAAUUUCAAUAUUGUUGUUUUAUGUAUUUUUGAUAUUGUAAAACUGUUAUUUAUUGUAUUCUGUUAGAACCACUCCCUGGGAUGUGAGGCACCUGAGUUAUCAGUUAUCCAAGUGAACCUGGGGAAAUGGGAGGAGCUAGUAUUCUCAAUUGGGAAGAGCUUGAUUCUUCAAUGAGUUUAGCAUUUUGGUUCCCUCUAAAAUUAAGUGACAAAGUAAUGGCAUUCCUUAAAAGACAGAAAGUUUGUGGGAAGUAAAAAUGGGGUUAGAAUUUUGAAAUAUGGAGAGGUGGCUACUAGAAAAAGGACAGAGUAUCCCAGGAUGGUGGCAAAAGCCACAGGGUGACAUUAAGACUGGGCCCAGAUAUUGGUUUAGAAUAAGGUUAAAUGAAACUAGCUACAUAAGACUACAGCCAGCUUAAUUACUGGGCUGGUGGACAUUAGACAAAUCUAACCAGAAGGAAACAGACCAGGAAAGAAAGUGAAGUUAAAAGGGAAUGGAAUAAGAGAAACCUCAUAAAAAGGGGUAAAGGAGAUAAUUAAAGGUUAAAGUGGAUGGCCUAAUGUUCAAAGGAGAAAUAGUGGAGGCCAGAUAGAAAGUGCCUUCCUACCCAGGGGGUUAUGGAUCCAGGGUGGCUGCAACUGCAGGUCCACCCAGGGCCAGAGGGAACAACCUGGGGUUCAGACCCAGCAAUGGUGCCAACUUGAAUCUACCUCGUGCUAGAGUUGAGUAGCCUGGUCUAUCAUCCAACACAGAUGAGAUUGGGCAGGCGCUCCCGGAACCAGUAUCUAAAAAGGGAGUUGGGAAAGGGGCUAAAGGAAGACAGGUUAAGCCCCAAAUGUAACUGAAUGAUGACCAGGGAUAACUAUUUACUAGUACUUUUACGAUUUCUUGUAACUCUGUAAUUUUCCCAAUAUUUGUUAGCUAUAUGUUUUUUCCUGUAUUAGUAGUAAAAAUUGUUUUUU
rnacentral:lncRNA from 1 species